rnacentral:rRNA from 1 species
UACGUAGGGUGCAAGCGUUAAUCGGAAUUACUGGGCGUAAAGCGUGCGCAGGCGGUUUUGCAAGUCAGAGGUGAAAUCCCCGGGCUCAACCUGGGAACUGCCUUUGUGACUGCAUAGCUAGAGUAUGGGAGAGGGAAGUGGAAUUUCAGGUGUAGCGGUGAAAUGCGUAGAUAUCUGAAGGAACAUCAGUGGCGAAAGCGACUUCCUGGACCAAUACUGACGCUCAUGUGCGAAAGCGUGGGGAGCAAACAGG